rnacentral:tRNA from 1 species
GCAUUGGUAGUUCAGUUAGAAUUCCCACCUUCCAUGAAGGAGGCCCAGGUUCAAUUCCUAGCCAGUACA